rnacentral:rRNA from 1 species
AUUGAACGCUGACGGCAUGCCUUACACAUGCAAGUCGAACGGCAGCGGACCUUCGGGUGCCGGCGAGUGGCGAACGGGUGAGUAAUAUAUCGGAACGUACCUUUCAGUGGGGGAUAACGUAGCGAAAGUUACGCUAAUACCGCAUAUUCUGUGAGCAGGAAAGCAGGGGAUCGCAAGACCUUGCGCUGAUUGAGCGGCCGAUAUCAGAUUAGCUAGUUGGUGAGGUAAAGGCUCACCAAGGCGACGAUCUGUAGCGGGUCUGAGAGGAUGAUCCGCUACACUGGAACUGAGACACGGUCCAGACUCCUACGGGAGGCAGCAGUGGGGAAUUUUGGACAAUGGGCGCAAGCCUGAUCCAGCCAUGCCGCGUGAGUGAAGAAGGCCU